rnacentral:rRNA from 1 species
UACGUAGGGGGCAAGCGUUGUCCGGAUUUAUUGGGCGUAAAGAGCGUGUAGGCGGCCAGGUAGGUCGGUUGUGAAAACUCGAGGCUCAACCUCGAGAUGUCGGCGGAAACCGUCUGGCUAGAGUCCGGAAGAGGAGAGUGGAAUUCCUGGUGUAGCGGUGAAAUGCGCAGAUAUCAGGAAGAACACCUAUGGCGAAGGCAGCUCUCUGGGACGGUACUGACGCUGAGGCGCGAAAGCGUGGGGAGCAAACGGG